GAUGAACGCUGGCGGCGUGCCUAACACAUGCAAGUCGAACGGGGUUAAGGGAAAUUUUCGGAUGGAACUUAACUUAGUGGCGGACGGGUGAGUAACGCGUGGAUAACCUGCCUCACACUGGGGGAUAGCAGCUGGAAACGGCUGGUAAUACCGCAUAAGACCACAGCACCGCAUGGUGCAGGGGUAAAAGAUUUAUCGGUGUGAGAUGGAUCCGCGUCUGAUUAGCCAGUUGGCGGUGUAAUGGACCACCAAGGCGACGAUCAGUAGCUGGUUUGAGAGGAUGAUCAGCCACAAUGGGACUGAGACACGGCCCAUACUCC
rnacentral:rRNA from 1 species